GAAGGUAUAGCUCAGUGGUAGAGUGUGUGCCUAACAUGGAUGAGGUCCUGGGUUCAGUCCCCAGUACCUCCA
rnacentral:tRNA from 1 species